GACUCAAAUCAGAAAAGAUGAAAGUUUUUCCACCAUGUACUUCACUAAUGAGGAAACUCAUAUGCAUGAAACAAGCAUCCUUUUCAGCCUUUCUAAUGCUAGUAUCUUUUCUCCUUGACACUUGUCUGUUCAAAGAUGAUCCAUAGUGAAAUAUCCUCGUGAUCUCAUAAAUGUGAAUACUCCUUCCACCAUGGCAGAUCUCAACCUAUCAACGGCUUCUUAACCUGGCCAUGAAAGCCAGCCUGAGGCCUUUCACACUGAACUUCACCAUCACCAGCCUCCACUAUUCGGCAGAUGUGGGACGUCAGGACUCACACAAGUUCAAUAUCACAGACGCCAUUAUGCAGCAUCUGCUUGGCCACUUGUUCAAAAACAGCAGCAUUGGCUCCCUGUACUUUGGAUGCAAGGUUCUUGAACUCAGAUCUAUGAAGAAAAAGGAUCACAGACAGGUGUGAGUGCCCUCUGCACCUACCACCAGUUCCCCAGCAGCAUUGUUCUGGAUGCCAAGCAGGUUUUCCAUGAGCUGAGCAACCAGAGUCAUGGCCUCCAGAAAUUGGGCCUCUGCUACCUGGACAAGGACAGUAUUUACCUCAAUGUUCCAGGUCCAGCCACAACAGUUGCAUCUAAGCCUGCCCUGGGGCCCAUAUGUAACCCAAAAGCUUUAAGACAGAACCAAUACAUUGGAUGACAGAGUUGGAAUCCCAAAGUAUAGGCUAGAAUGUUGGUGUCAAAUCUAAUAAGGUGAAACCUAAUAGGAAUAAUAAAACUUUAUAUCUGGACUCUAAAAACCAACUUCAUGAGUUCAAGAUGGAGGAGCUGUGCUAGACUUCUCUGAAAAAAAAAUUGGGAAUUUUAAUGGACUACCAGCUCAACAAGGUUCAACAAUGUUGUAUGAUAAAUAAAAAAGUUAAGAAAAAUCUUAGGCUGUGCUGAGAAAGAUAACAUAUUCAACUAUCUCCAGGUGGUUAAAGGGCUGUCACAGGGAAAAGAAAAGGGCCUGGACUUGUCCUGCUUGGUGUCCCAGAGGGCUGAACUAGUAACAAUGAGUAAAGUUGCAAAGAAGCAAAUUUAUGCUUGACGUCAAGAAAACUUUCCUAUUGAGUGGUGGUAUACCAAACUGAGAUGGUCUACUUCAGGAAGUAAAAGGUUACCCUUCCCUGAAGAACUUCAAAUAAAUAACUACUAGAUCACCACUUGUUGGGGACAUUGUAGAGGGGAUUCUUGGUCAGUUAUGGGUUGGACCAGGUCAUCCCUGAGGUGCUGCAUUCUGUCAAUCCUUAUUCUUGGUGUGUUGAAUUUCUCUUCUAAGCCAGAAGACUGGGGAGAGCAGUCUGGUGACAAGCCAGGGCAACCUGAAGCUUCGGGGUCAGCCACUGGAUCAACCUUCACUCCUUCACUGGGAUCUACAGGGCCUGGAGCCUACGCGGUUAGUGGCACUGCUAACCUGGAAUCUUUCCUUCUAAACUUCACCAUCACCAACUUACUCUAUGCAGAAGACAUGGGGAACCCAGGUUCUGACAAAUUCAACUCUACAGAGAGGGACCUUCAGCUCCAGACCUAUGAAGAAGAGAUUUGCAGCUGGAGUGGAUUCCCUGUGUACCCAUCACAUUGUCCCUGCCAACCCUGUCUUGGACAGAGAGAAGGUUUACUGGGAGCUGAGCAGGGAGACACAUGGUAUCACCAGGCUGGGUCCCUAUGCCCUGGACAAGGACAGUCUUUACCUUGAUGGUUAUAAUGAACACAGAUUGGUCAAACCUACUGCCAGUAAUUAUUGUGCCAUCCAAUUCCACCAUCAGCCAUCUGUUGGUCCUAAGCCUUGUUCCCUUCCUGACCC